rnacentral:lncRNA from 1 species
CAGAGACCCUCCACAUUGGAAAAGCACUGAAAUCUGGCGCCGGUUGGCUCCACAGUUUACAGAAAUAGUUUUGAUCCAUAGGCUAUACACUUAUCUUGUACAUUUCAACUUGUAGAGCUAGUGAACAAGAUAUUUGGACAUAUCAUCCGGUGAAGGAAAUGCUAGGCCUCCAUAAGGUAUCGCCCAUCUUCUCCACUUAUCCCCUGGGUAUUUAUACCUGUGUUUUCUGUCUGCUGCCAGGUCGUCUUGUUUGUUCAAGCCUUCCACAGUUUUGUUUCUCAGCUCCUGCCUUUUCCGGUUUUUAUUUUCUCGCCCUCCUGGUUUUGACGCACGCCUGCCUGACCACUCUGCCUGUCCCUGAGCCCGCCUACCGUCCUGUACCUUUGCCACUACUGUGGAUUAUCAACCCCUGCCUGCCUUGACCUGUCGUUUGCCUGCCCCUG